UGGACAGAUUAUUGUAUUCGAUUAUAUUCACGGCGUGAAACGGGGGAUUAUAGUGUUUUUAAAUGGAAAGUGAAUCAAUUAACAUAAUAGACUCCU
rnacentral:pre_miRNA from 1 species